AACAAGUAGUACAGUGAUGGCUUUACGUUGCGAGUAAACAUGGAAUGAUUGUUUUGCAGUUGUUCAACUUUGAUGUGCGAUCCCUCGAAUGGACUCCAUACCUAGAAAGUUACAUGUUGGGCAUUCGUAAGUACAUGUUCAAAGCUGAAGAUUCCAAGCUACCAGAAGCCCGGAAACACCUGAGAAGGCUUCACGUCCUGAACUUGUCCCUUCGGGUGCUCCUGUUCGUUGUUGCGUGGCGACUACUGAACACGCGGACAGCGUGGAAACUCUACUCCUUGGCGAAGUCGAGUGCGAUAGCGACGUGCCAAACGCUGCACGCCUUGUUGGAUCAGCUGCCGAUGCAUGUAGCCCGCCAUGCGGGCACUACGUCCUGAUGGUCCGCAGCAAUCUUUCGUGCCCCAAUAACCGCAGCCGUGCCGAAACCUGCUUGGACUUAUCGAGAGGAGUGUCACGUAAAAUAAAAAUGAGUCAGGCA